CAAAAACCAAGAAGUCAGUUCCAACCCUGCUGAGUAACACCACAGUAAGCCUACCACCUUCCCAAACACCUGGGCUACCAGGAAAAGGGAUAAAACACUUUUAUAACAAAAGCCUCCCAUCACUGACAGCUGAGAGGGAAAGGAGGCAGAGGGAGUUUUCACACACACUCACUCACUCACUUUAAUCACGUUGUUAGGAGCUCUGUUCAGGUUGAGGUUCUUGAUUCUCACCGUCAGCUGGUGAGCAGUCUUACAAGUUACAAGGUACUUGCUGAUCAGAGGCUUAGGAAAAUCGGUCCCUUCGAAAUGCUUCAGUCCUAAAGCCAACAGACUGAGAGAGAACCAAAGUCACAUAUGGUUCUGCAAGGAGCUCUUCAACCUGCAUGCUUCACAGCCUCCUCCCACACCCUUAGAGAGUUACAGAUCACUGCGUAUUUUAAUAACCAAACAUGAAAAGCUCAAUGACCCUGGAUUAAUCACCAGCACUACUGAAAAUAAAUAUGCUUAAAGCACUAACAUUCUUGGUGACAGAAAAAAAAAAAAUUCAAGCAACUGCAUACUCUGAACACCGAGGUGGCUGAGGCAGGAGAUGCCAAGGUCAAGACCAGCCUGGCUCCCUGGCACAAGCUAACUCAUUGGUUACAGUGCUUGCCUAACAUAUGGAAGACCCUGGGAUUGAACUCUCUCAUGCCCUAGACUGGUUUCAAGAGAAUAGAAGACCUGAGAAACAGCACUGAACAAGCACAAAUGAGACAGCAUACAAUUCACAAACAAGCAAAAGAGCAUUACACCUCAGAAAAAGUCAUCCCAGGCAUGGUGGCACACUCCUGCAAUCUCAACACUUGAGAGGCUGAGGGGGGAGUACUGCUAUAAUUGGGGGCUAGCACAGGCUACAUGAUAUCACUCUGUAUCCAAACCCCUCCCCCAAAGGUAAAACCCAAAAACCAAAUUCCAGUACC
rnacentral:lncRNA from 1 species